rnacentral:misc_RNA from 1 species
UCCUGGUUCCCCAGGCAGUCCCAUCAGAGUGCCUCCGAAGAGUAGCAACUGAUGGCAGGGGUUGCGCUCGUUAAAGGACUUAACCCAACAUCUCACGACACGAGCUGACGACAGCCAUGCAGCACCUGUGUAACCGUUCGUAUUACUACGAAACCCGAUAUUUCUACCAGUAGCAGUUACAUGUCAAGCCUAGGUAAGGUUCCUCGCGUAGUGUCGAAUUAAACCACAUGUUCCACCGCUUGUGCGGGCCCCCGUCAAUUUCUUUGAGUUUUAAUCUUGCGACCGUACUUCCCAGGCGGAUCACUUAACGCGUUAGCUUCGACACUGAUCCGGCGAACCAGACCAACAUCUAGUGAUCAUCGUUUACGGCGUGGACUAC